rnacentral:rRNA from 1 species
AACGCUGGCGGCGUGCCUAAUACAUGCAAGUCGAGCGAAUGACAGAGAAGCUUGCUUCUCUUGAUUUAGCGGCGGACGGGUGAGUAACACGUGGGCAACCUACCUUAUAGAUGGGGAUAACUCCGGGAAACCGGGGCUAAUACCGAAUAAUUCCAAGCACCUCAUGGUGCUUGGCUGAAAGACGGUUUCGGCUGUCACUAUAAGAUGGGCCCGCGGCGCAUUAGCUAGUUGGUAAGGUAACGGCUUACCAAGGCAACGAUGCGUAGCCGACCUGAGAGGGUGAUCGGCCACACUGGGACUGAGACACGGCCCAGACUCCUACGGGAGGCAGCAGUAGGGAAUCUUCCACAAUGGACGAAAGUCUGAUGGAGCAACGCCGCGUGAGUGAAGAAGGUUUUCGGAUCGUAAAACUCUGUUGUAAGGGAAGAACAAGUACGGUAGUAACUGGCCGUACCUUGACGGUACCUUAUUAGAAAGCCACGGCUAACUACGUGCCAGCAGCCGCGGUAAUACGUAGGUGGCAAGCGUUGUCCGGAAUUAUUGGGCGUAAAGCGCGCGCAGGCGGUCCUUUAAGUCUGAUGUGAAAGCCCACGGCUCAACCGUGGAAGGUCAUUGGAAACUGGGGGACUUGAGUGCAGAAGAGGUUAGUGGAAUUCCAAGUGUAGCGGUGAAAUGCGUAGAGAUUUGGAGGAACACCAGUGGCGAAGGCGACUAUCUGGUCUGUAACUGACGCGAGGCGCGAAGAGCGGC